CACGGACAUCUGCCGUUGUCUACCAGAGAAUCCAAAGGACCGUGAAAGCAGUGAUGUGAAGGGCCUGAGAAUGCUGAAUGGGUUCCCCUUUAAGACUGAGGGAUAAAGACAGCCCAGGUGGAAUGACCGUUUUCUUGAAGAAUGAAGAGUCCUUGGAGAGCUCUGAACUGUGUGGCCGCUGAGGGGAGAAGUCGUCGUUCCAGGUUUGGAAGGAGAUGAGAAGAAUGCACAGCUCGAAGGAGAGAAAGAACAAGGCCAAAGGCACAGAGCUGGAAGGAGUUCGCAAGCAGAGCCCACACGGGCCAGGGAUUUCCCAAAGGUGAAAGGACUGUCGCAUUGUGGAAGAAGAGGCAAGUGGGUCUUCUGGACAGUGAUGUCGUCUGUUUGUUUUUAAGGAAUUAAAAGAAAUGCAAA